UACGGAGGGAGCAAGCGUUACUCGGAAUUAUUGGGCGUAAAGGGCGCGUAGGCGAUUCGGUAAGUCUCGUGUGAAAUCCCAGUGCUUAACGCUGGAAGAGCACGGGAAACUGCUGAAUUUGAGUUCCGGAGAGGAAGGCAGAAUUCCCGGUGUAGCGGUGAAAUGCGUAGAUAUCGGGAGGAAUACCAGUGGCGAAGGCGGCCUUCUGGACGGAUACUGACGCUGAGGCGCGAAAGCUAGGGGAGCAAACGGG
rnacentral:rRNA from 2 species